UUACUGUUGAUUGUGACGAAAUGCCAGCUGAGGCACAUGCCUUGGGAGCUAAGUGGUUGCUGCCCUUGACCACUGUGAAGACUGGUGUGGGAAGGGUCGCUUUGGAUGCACUUGAGCAGGGGUCCCCAACCCCUGAGCCAUGGAGCCGCAAGGAGCCACACAGCAGGAGGUGGGACCAUCCAGUUGCAGGAAAACAAGCUUGACACGCCCACUAAUUCUACAUUAUGCUCCUACCUCCCGGCAGCCUCUCCAGGCCCAGAACUUUCUCCAGUCAGCCUCUACAGACCAAGCUCAUGACUCACAAUGGCCUAUUUAGGCCCAUACCCUACGUCACGGCAGCCUCCGCAGAUGAGGCUACUGCCUCACAACAGCCUCCACAGGCACAGCUCCAUCGUUACAAUGGCCUCUUUAGACCCAGCUCCUGCCUCCCAGCCUUCUCUCCAGGCCCUGAACUUUCUCAAGUCGACCUCACCAGGCCCAGCUCAUGCUUCUUUGCAGCCUCUCCAGGCCCAGCUCCUGCAUCUUGGUGGCCCCUCCAGGCCCAGCCUCUGCCUCCCGUCAGCCUCUACAGUCCCAACGUCUGCCUCACAGCAGAUUCUUCACGCCCAGCAUCUACCUCACUGUGGACCCCCCAAGCCAAGCUCCCAACCUUUCAGCAGCUUCUACACACCCAGCUCCCGCCUGCCAGUGGCCUCUUCAGGCCCAUGGGGCUCAUUCCUGACAACGGCCUUUCCAGGCCCAGUUUUUCCCUUCCGGCGGCCUCUCCGGGCCCAGAACCUCCUCAAGUCAGCCUCUCCAGACCCACUUGCACCCUCCGGGCGUUCUCUCCGGGCCCAGCUCUUCUUCCUGGUUGGGUCUCCAGGCCCGAUUCCUGCCUCUCAACAACCUCUUUGGACUCAGUGCCUACCCAUCUCCUGGCGGCCUUGGUCGGCCCACAGCUUCCUCAAGCCAAGCUCCCCAGGCCCAGGUCAGGCCUCACGGUGGCCUCUCCAGGAUGAGCUCCUGCCCUCCGAUGGCAUCUCCAGGCCCCAAAUGGUCUCCGGUCGGUGGGCUCCUCCACGCCAAGGUUGGGCCUCCCGGCGACUGCCGCAGGCCCAAGUUGUCCUGAAGUCGGGCUCUCCCGGCCCUGCCUCCCAGCAAGUAAGCAAGCUCUUUUGGCUCAACUCCUGCCCAGCUCCCAACCGCCUUUGUAGGCCCCGAACUUUCUCCAGCCAAGCUCUGAGGGCCCACCUCCUGCCUCCUGGUGGCCUGUACAGUUCUAGCACUGGUUGGAGAACAGCCUCUGCAGGCCCCGCCCUUGCCUCCCAGGGGCCUCUCCAGGCCCAGCUCUUGCCCCCACGGCGGCCUCCCGGGGCCAAGUCCCUGCCUGCCUCCCAGCAGCCCGCGUGCGGCCCAGCUCCUCCCUCACGGUGGCCUGUUGAUGCCCAACUCAUGCCUCUGGCACCCUGCCCAGAGGCGUGAGCCCCUGCCUCACACUGGCUCCUCCCACGCUGAGAGAGGUCAGUGUGAGCCCCUUGCCUCACACCGGCCCCUCCCACGCUGAGAGAGGUCAGAGUGAGCCCCUUGUCUCACACCGGCCCCUCCCACGUGGACAGAGGUCAGCGUGAGCCCCUUGCCUCACACCGGCCCCUCCCACGCUGAGAGAGGUCAGUGUGAGCCCUUGCCUCACACCGGCCCCUCCCACGCGGACAGAGGUCAGCGUGAGCCCCUUGCCUCACACCGGCCCCUCCCACGCUGAGAGAGGUCAGUGUGAGCCCUUGCCUCACCCCGGCCCCUCCCACGUGGACAGAGGUCAGCGUGAGCCCCUUGUCUCACACCAGCCCCUCCCACGCUGAGAGAGGUCAGUGUGAGCCCUUGCCUCACACCGGCCCCUCCCACGCGGACAGAGGUCAGCGUGAGCCCCUUGCCUCACACCGGCCCCUCCCACGCUGAGAGAGGUCAGUGUGAGCCCUUGCCUCACCCCGGCCCCUCCCACGUGGACAGAGGUCAGCGUGAGCCCCUUGUCUCACACCGGCCCCUCCCACGCUGAGAGAGGUCAGUGUGAGCCCUUGCCUCACACCGGCCCCUCCCACGCGGACAGAGGUCAGCGUGAGCCCCUUGCCUCACACCGGCCCCUCCCACGCGGACAGAGGUCAGCCCGAGCCCCUUGUCUCACACCGGCCCCUCCCAUGCUGAGAGAGGUCAGUGUGAGCCCCUUGUCUCACACCGGCCCCUCCCAUGCUGAGAGAGGUCAGCGUGAGCCCCUUGCCUCACCCCGGCCCCUCCCACGCUGAGAGAGGUCAGUGUGAGCCCUUGCCUCACACCGGCCCCUCCCACGCGGACAGAGGUCAGCGUGAGCCCCUUGCCUCACACCGGCCCCUCCCACGCUGAGAGAGGUCAGUGUGAGCCCUUGCCUCACACCGGCCCCUCCCACGCGGACAGAGGUCAGCGUGAGCCCCUUGCCUCACCCCGGCCCCUCCCACGCUGAGAGAGGUCAGUGUGAGCCCUUGCCUCACACCGGCCCCUCCCACGCGGACAGAGGUCAGCGUGAGCCCCUUGCCUCACCCCGGCCCCUCCCACGCUGAGAGAGGUCAGUGUGAGCCCUUGCCUCACACCGGCCCCUCCCACGCUGAGAGAGGUCAGCGUGAGCCCCUUGUCUCACACCGGCCCCUCCCACGCUGAGAGAGGUCAGCCCGAGCCCCUUGCCUCACACCGGCCCCUCCCACGCUGAGAGAGGUGUGAGCCCCUUGUCUCACACCGGCCCCUCCCACGCGGACAGAGGUCAGCGUGAGCCCCUUGCCUCACACCGGCCCCUCCCACGCUGAGAGAGGUCAGUGUGAGCCCUUGCCUCACACCGGCCCCUCCCACGCGGACAGAGGUCAGCGUGAGCCCCUUGCCUCACACCGGCCCCUCCCACGCUGAGAGAGGUCAGUGUGAGCCCUUGCCUCACACCGGCCCCUCCCACGCGGACAGAGGUCAGCGUGAGCCCCUUGCCUCACCCCGGCCCCUCCCACGCUGAGAGAGGUCAGUGUGAGCCCUUGCCUCACACCGGCCCCUCCCACGCGGACAGAGGUCAGCGUGAGCCCCUUGCCUCACCCCGGCCCCUCCCACGCUGAGAGAGGUCAGUGUGAGCCCUUGCCUCACACCGGCCCCUCCCACGCGGACAGAGGUCAGCGUGAGCCCCUUGCCUCACACCGGCCCCUCCCACGCUGAGAGAGGUCAGUGUGAGCCCUUGCCUCACACCGGCCCCUCCCACGCGGACAGAGGUCAGCGUGAGCCCCUUGCCUCACCCCGGCCCCUCCCACGCUGAGAGAGGUCAGUGUGAGCCCUUGCCUCACACCGGCCCCUCCCACGCGGACAGAGGUCAGCGUGAGCCCCUUGCCUCACCCCGGCCCCUCCCACGCUGAGAGAGGUCAGUGUGAGCCCUUGCCUCACACCGGCCCCUCCCACGCGGACAGAGGUCAGCGUGAGCCCCUUGCCUCACACCGGCCCCUCCCACGCUGAGAGAGGUCAGUGUGAGCCCUUGCCUCACACCGGCCCCUCCCACGCGGACAGAGGUCAGCGUGACCCCCUGCCUCAACAGGCCACCGUGAGGGAGGAACAGGAUCGCACUCGGGCUGCUGGGAGGUAGGCAGGGACUUGGGCCUGGGAGGUCGCGGUGGGGCGAGAGCUGGGCCUGGAGACUCCCCUGGGAGGCAACAGCGGGGUCUGCAGACGCCCUUCUCCAGCCGGAGCUGGGACUGUUCAGUCACUGGGAGAAGGGAUGUGGGUCUGAAGAGCUUGGUUGCAGAAACUUCGGGGUCUACAAACGCAGGCGGGAGCUGAGCCAAAAGAGCUUGUUUGCUGGGAGGUGGGAGAUGCAGCCAGGAGGAACAGCUGGGCAAUGCGGGAGGCAGAGGCCAGGCCUCCUCAAGUUGGCCUCUCAGACCCACUUGCAGCCUCCCGGCGCCCCCUCCGGGCCCAGCUCUUCCUCCCGGCUGCAUCUCCAGGCCGGACUCUGGCCCGACUCCAGGUCCCAACAACGUCUUUGGACUCAGCUCCUGCCCAGCUCCCAGCGGCCCUGGUAGGCCCACAACUUCCCUAAGCCAAGCUCCCCAGGCCCAGCUCAGGCCUCGCGGUGGCCUCUCCAGGCUCAGCUCCUGGCCCUCCGAUGACAUCUGCAGGCCCCAAAUGGCCUCCGGUCGGUGGGCUCCUCUAGGCCCAGCUUGGGCCUCCCGGCGGCCUCCGCAGGCCCAAAUCGUCCCGAAGUCAGUCUCUCCAGGCUUAGCUCCAGCCUCCCGGCGGCCUCUGCAGGCCCAAGUCGUCCUCAAGUCGGCCUGGAAGUGGGCCUGGAAGAGCAGCAAGUCGGCCUCCCUGGGCCCAGCUCCGUCCUCUCGACGGCCUCUCCAGGUGCAAAACUUCCUCGAGUCAGCCUCUCCAGGCCCAGCUCCUCCUGCCUCCCAGUGGCCUCUUUCAGCCCAGCCCAGCUCAUGGCUCUCGGCGGCCUUCGCAGGCCCUGCUUUUGACUUUUGGCAGCCUCUUCAGGCGCAGAACUUGAUCUCCAGUCGGCCUUUGCAGGCCCGGCCUCCUGCCUCUCGAAGGCCUGCACGGGCCCGGCCUCGGCCUCGGCCUCACAGCGGACUCUCCACGCCCAGCUAGCUCUCGCCUCACUGCGGCCUCCCCAGUCCAAAGCUCCUGCCUUUCGGCCACUUCGGCAGGUCCAGCUCCUGCCUGCCAGUGGCCUCUUUAGGCCCAGCUCAUUCCUCACGUCGGCCAUUCCAGGCCCCGUUUUUCCCUUCCGGCAGCCUCUUGGCCUCUAAUUUGUUUAUCUUUUGUGUAUAAAUCCCAAAAUAUUGAAUUUUGGAAUAUUUCCACCAUUAUGUAAAUGUUUUGGUAGGUAAUUUAUUUGGAGUGAG